rnacentral:rRNA from 1 species
AUUGAACGCUGGCGGCAUGCCUUACACAUGCAAGUCGAACGGUAACGCGGGGCAACCUGGCGACGAGUGGCGAACGGGUGAGUAAUGCAUCGGAACGUGCCCAGAAGUGGGGGAUAGCCCGGCGAAAGCCGGAUUAAUACCGCAUGAGACCUGAGGGUGAAAGCGGGGGAUCGCAAGACCUCGCGCUUUUGGAGCGGCCGAUGUCAGAUUAGCUAGUUGGUGGGGUAAAGGCCUACCAAGGCGACGAUCUGUAGCUGGUCUGAGAGGACGACCAGCCACACUGGGACUGAGACAGGGCCCAGACUCCUACGGGAGGCAGCAGUGGGGAAUUUUGGACAAUGGGCGCAAGCCUGAUCCAGCCAUGCCGCGUGCGGGAAGAAGGCCUUCGGGUUGUAAACCGCUUUUGUCAGGGAAGAAACGCUCUGGGCUAAUACCCUGGGGUAAUGACGGUACCUGAAGAAUAAGCACCGGCUAACUACGUG